GACGAACGCUGGCGGCGUGCUUAACACAUGCAAGUCGAACGCUGAAGACCUGGCUUUUGUUGGGUUGGAUGAGUGGCGAACGGGUGAGUAACACGUGAGUAACCUGCCCUCUUCUUUGGGAUAACGCCCGGAAACGGGUGCUAAUACUGGAUAUUCACUGAUCUUCGCAUGGGGGUUGGUGGAAAGGUUUGUUCUGGUGGGGGAUGGGCUCGCGGCCUAUCAGCUUGUUGGUGGGGUGAUGGCCUACCAAGGCUUUGACGGGUAGCCGGCCUGAGAGGGUGACCGGUCAGGUUGGGAGUGAGAUACGGGCCAGACUCCUACGGGAGGCAGCAGUGGGGGAUAUUGCACAAGGGGCGAAAGCCUGAUGCGGCGACGCCGCGUGGGGGAGGGAGGCCUUCGGGUUGGAAACCUCUUUCGCUCAUGGUCAAGCCGCAACUGUGGGUUGUGGUGAGGGUAGUGGGUAAAGAAGCGCCGGCUAACUACGUG
rnacentral:rRNA from 1 species